rfam:Sarcoptes scabiei Contig624, whole genome shotgun sequence.
GCUUACGACCAUAUCACGUUGAGAACACCGGUUCUCGUCCGAUCACCGAAGUUAAGCAACGUCGAGC